rnacentral:tRNA from 1 species
UGCCGGGUCGUCUAAUGGUAGGACUGGAGCCUUUGAAGCUCUCUAUCUUGGUUCGAAUCCAAGCCCGGCAA